rnacentral:lncRNA from 1 species
GACGUCAGGAAAAGUGGAGUCAGUCCAGGGAUGGACGGCAAGGUGGCCAGUCUCACUGAUUUCUUGGAGCAAAACUCUUCAAUGUGGCAGGACCAGCAAUUUAAAUAUAGUUUCAUGUUGGUGGUGUACCUUGAUGAUUGGUUAUGCCCAGUGAAAGUCAACGUCCAUUGGUUAUGUCCAGUGAGGUAAUAUAAUUGCAACUGGGCAUGUUCUUUGCACAUUCUUAUGGAGCUGUACUCCCUAUCAUAUGUAACCAGUCAUUGCUAAGAAUGCCUAUGGCUAGUGCCCCUUAUAGCUCUUUAUCAAUUGCAAGCAGACAUUUCUAAGCAGUUUAAUGGCUGCUCUUCCUAAUGGCCAACAACUUAGUUAGUCCCAGCAUGUCCCAGCAUGUCUAUGGCAGAUUCACCUUACAAGGAAGAACCCAACACUCUGAUAGACUGAGCCUUUACCAGGACAUAUAGCUCAUAAGUAGAUGUGUCAGGAUUGAAACCUGGGCCUGCGAGUCUGAACUUCUUCCAGUUGUAGUGUUUUCUGUGUGGAAAGUAAAACUGAACUGGGGGAUUGUUUAAACACUACAUAUAAUGAAGAAGUUGACUGAAUUUUAAUGUCUCAGCUCUGGGUGCUCAGUCAGACAGGAGAAAAGAACAUUCUAG